AGCAACAAGGAUAUCAGAGGUAAUGCAGUACGAUUGUUUCAUGCAGACCUAUUUAAUUGAACAAUGCAAUCAAUACAUCAGUUUAAUAUGUAGAGCAAUCGUCAGCUGCACAAAGACUUAGAAUUUAAUUUAAAUUACAACAGAUGGACACAUUAGUAUAAUUAUACCUAAAAUCUCCAAGAAGUUAAGGAGAUAGACAAAGAACAUAAUGUCUCACCUAGU